rnacentral:rRNA from 1 species
UGAUCCUGGCUCAGAUUGAACGCUGGCGGCAGGCCUAACACAUGCAAGUCGAGCGGUAGAGAGAAGCUUGCUUCUCUUGAGAGCGGCGGACGGGUGAGUAACGCCUAGGAAUCUGCCUAGUGGUGGGGGAUAACGUUCGGAAACGGACGCUAAUACCGCAUACGUCCUACGGGAGAAAGCGGGGGACCUUCGGGCCUCGCGCCAUUAGAUGAGCCUAGGUCGGAUUAGCUAGUUGGUGAGGUAAUGGCUCACCAAGGCGACGAUCCGUAACUGGUCUGAGAGGAUGAUCAGUCACACUGGAACUGAGACACGGUCCAGACUCCUACGGGAGGCAGCAGUGGGGAAUAUUGGACAAUGGGCGAAAGCCUGAUCCAGCCAUGCCGCGUGUGUGAAGAAGGUCUUCGGAUUGUAAAGCACUUUAAGUUGGGAGGAAGGGUAGUAACUUAAUACGUUGCUACUUUGACGUUACCGACAGAAUAAGCACCGGCUAACUUCGUGCCAGCAGCCGCGGUAAUACGAAGGGUGCAAGCGUUAAUCGGAAUUACUGGGCGUAAAGCGCGCGUAGGUGGUUCAGUAAGUUGGAAGUGAAAUCCCCGGGCUCAACCUGGGAACUGCUUUCAAAACUGCUGAGCUAGAGUACGGUAGAGGGUGGUGGAAUUUCCUGUGUAGCGGUGAAAUGCGUAGAUAUAGGAAGGAACACCAGUGGCGAAGGCGACCACCUGGACUGAUACUGACACUGAGGUGCGAAAGCGUGGGGAGCAAACAGGAUUAGAUACCCUGGUAGU